rnacentral:lncRNA from 1 species
GCACAACAUAUAGCUAUUGCAGGCAGCUGCGGCAAUGCUUGUUAUUUAAUUCAGAAUCAUACAGUAGUUCGAUCUCAUGGCAACCAUGGGGGCAGGAAGGUGGUCAUGCAUGAGCUAGUCAGUGCCUCUGAAGGGUACCUGCAAACAAAUUGCACAAACGGAGGAAUCAGCUUUUAUUGACAACAGGAGGAAUCACAGCUUUAAUUUCAUUACAAAGAGCUACUCUAUGAUAAGAACUUGUCAUCAGUACUAGAUUUAACAAUUUACAGUGAUAGCGAUUUCUAUAUUCAGUGACAUGUCCUGUGAUUUUGUGGCAUUUGCAUUUUGCCAUCAAGAAAAUAACGGAACUAGGUGUCAUUUUCAUGAUCCUGUAUGUUAGUAGGACGAUUAAACGAGCAUACAGUAAAAUUAAUCUAGAUCAAAGAAAACGCCAUUUUAGUUUGAAGAUUGUUUCUAUAUGAUAAAAAAAACCUGGAUGUUCAUGCAUCUUUCCAAGCCCUGCUAGGGCAUCGAAAUAGUAUUGCACAAAAUUGGCAUCCUUAUUUCCCUUUGUUUAGAGUAGGGAGAGAUUCACCCAAAGCAUGAGGACCAUACCCUAUCUGAAGGGUGGGUUCACCAGCAGCAUCGAGGGGAUGGAAGAAGUUAUUGCCGUGUAGCUGCUGCGGCUGCACUUCAGGAUGCCGCUCGCCUUGUUGCUCCCAUGCA